rnacentral:tRNA from 1 species
UGACAAAUAGCUUAAAUUAAAGCAUAGCACUGAAGUUGCUAGUAUAGGCUUCGCCCUUUUGUUAA